GAGUGUGGGAAGGGGAGGGGGGUGGGGGAAUAUGUGCUCCUUAAUCUAUUCACAUGUGCGUGCUGCCGUCACUUCACUCGCCGGCUAGCAGCACUCCCCCCUCCCUCCCUCAAAACACCAUCUUAUCAUACCAUAUACAGAUCGUGGCUUCGGGGCUGACCAUCACCACCACCACCACAACACACCAAACGCCUCCCCAAAAGCCAUAAUAAAAAAUGUCACAGUGCUUAUUACCUCACCCUUGGCCCAGAGACCUACCCCCUAAACUCCUUAAAUGCGUAUGGGUGAAAGGAUCGAUAAUUUAGCUUAAGUAUAGAGGGGUAAAAGUGACUGUCCCAGCGUUUGAUUCUAUUAAAUAUGGGUCACAAAAACAUUGAUUUUUUUUUAAGGUAUUUGGAUUAUCUUUUCGUUGUUUAUAUUAAAGUUGUUAGCGUCUUGCAUUUAUCUUCCACGUCCUAAUAUAAUUUGUACAGUUCGUCAUAUAUUUGUACAUUUCUCCACAUAUUUGUACAGGUAGUAAGAUGUUUCCGCUUGGUGGAAUCAUAUUUAGCAGCGACCUCACUGUAUGCUCUUAGUUUGUCAUUGGACUAAAGGGGGGUUAAAACUACGGCCGCUCCACCACGGGUCACAGCCUCAAGUUAAAGAAACCACCGGGAGAGAAAACUUUUUAGAGGUAUAACUUUGGGGUAAACGUUGUGGACAUUUGGGGUAAAAGUUGUGGAAAUUUGAGGUAAAAGUUGUGGACAUUUGGGGUAAAAGUUGUGGACAUUUGGGGUAAAAGUUGUGGAUCUUUAGGGUAAAAGUUGUGGACAUUUGGGGUAAAAGUUAUGGAUCAUUGGAUUAACCUGUCAGGGAUGUCGUGAGGACAGACUUGAUUAACACUGGCACAUGAUGAGGUACAAUACAUUCAAGACCCCAAACACGACCACAACUUACCAACAGCGUGUAACAGAGAGCGGAUGAGCGGUAUAUAAGCUGCCAUGAUGUGAAGAGGGUAACAUAAUGUAAAUAACUAUGUAAAUAAUAAUAAUUAGGAAGAGAUAAAGAUCAGUUUUCCAGCCAACGAAGCAUGACAGAGACAACAGGAUGUUUUCAGUAUAAUAUGGGAGGGUUGAGGUGAAUAUCUUGGUAUAGAGAGAGAAAGAAAGAGACUCAUUUGACCCCCACAGUGUGUUGUUGACUUCUGUGUAGUGUGUUACUGUUACUCCAACACAUGACCACCCUCAACAUGCAAGCGCUGAUGGUGUGUAGCUUACUUCUGCCCCUCCUCCAGACUGGUGUGUGUAUCCGAUGUUACCACUGUGAGGAGGAAGUGGAGG